rnacentral:tRNA from 1 species
GCCUGGUUGGCUCAGUUGGUUGAGCAUCUGACUUUGACUCAGGUCAUGAUCUCACUCACAGUUUGUGAGUUCGAGCCCCGCGUCAGGCU